UACGAAGGGGGCUAGCGUUGCUCGGAAUCACUGGGCGUAAAGCGCACGUAGGCGGACUCUUAAGUCAGGGGUGAAAUCCUGGAGCUCAACUCCAGAACUGCCUUUGAUACUGGAGACUGUAGUCGGGAGAGGUGAGUGGAACUGCGAGUGUAGAGGUGAAAUUCGUAGAUAUUCGCAAGAACACCAGUGGCGAAGGCGGCUCACUGGCCCGAUACUGACGCUGAGGU
rnacentral:rRNA from 1 species